CCAGAUGAAUGGACUUUUGAAAUUUUCAAGAACAGUUUCAGUUCAGAUAUUUUCUAAUGUUGUAGCUAAAAAAGAAAUUUUGGGUCCAGUUUUGGCAAUUAAGAAUGAGGAAGUAUUCUGUCAGCUUCCAAGCUGCCAUAAGGACGGAGAGGAGAGGCUUGAACUUUUACCUACUUAAUUCCCCUGAAGAACUGUCUCCACAGAGAUGGAAUGGGGGGGGGGACAUUCCUGUGAACUGACGGAGAUGGGAUGAGAAGAGUGACUUGGAAGAUGGCCAAUGAGACGCAGAGAAUUGGGAACCGGAAAGAGAGGUUUUUUUGGGGCGGGGGGGCAAAGUUCAGUGCUAACUGCGCAUUGAGUCAGGGUCAGUUCAUUAUGCUCAAUAAAGAGAAAAAUUUCCUCAAA